GAUGAACGCUGGCGGCGUGCCUAAUACAUGCAAGUCGAGCGAACGGACGAGAAGCUUGCUUCUCUGAUGUUAGCGGCGGAAGGGUGAGUAACACGUGGAUAACCUACCUAUAAGACUGGGAUAACUUCGGGAAACCGGAGCUAAUACCGGAUAAUAUUUUGAACCGCAUGGUUCAACAGUGAAAGACGGUCUUGCUGUCACUUAUAGAUGGAUCCGCGCUGCAUUAGCUAGUUGGUAAGGUAACGGCCUACCAAGGCAACGAUGCAUAGCCGACCUGAGAGGGUGAGCGGCCACACUGGAACUGAGACAGGGUCCAGACUCAUACGGGAGGCAGCAGUAGGAAAUCGUCCGCAAUGGGCGAAAGCCUGACGGAGCAACGCCGCGUGAGUGAUGAAGGUCUUCGGAUCGUAAAACGCUGUUAGUAGGGAAGAACAUAUGUGUAAGUAACUGUGCACAUCUUGACGGUACCUAAUCAGAAAGCCACGGCUAACUACGUG
rnacentral:rRNA from 1 species